rnacentral:rRNA from 1 species
GCUCAGAAACUUAAAGGAAGUUGACGGGGGCCCGGCACAAGCGGUGGAGUAUGUGGUUUAAUUCGAUGCAACGCGAAGAACCUUACCUGGUCUUGACAUCCCGGAGACCCUUAGGAAACUAGGGGGUGCUUCCAUCUGGAAGAAUCUGGAGACAGGUGCUGCAUGGCUGUCGUCAGCUCGUGUCGUGAGAUGUUGGGUUAAGUCCCGCAACGAGCGCAACCCUUGCCUUUAGUUGCCAGCAGUUCGGCUGGGCACUCUAAAGGGACUGCCGGUGUUAAACCGGAGGAAGGUGGGGAUGACGUCAAGUCCUCAUGGCCUUUAUGACCAGGGCUACACACGUACUACAAUGGCCGAUACAAAGGGCAGCGACACUGCGAGGUGAAGCCAAUCCCGUAAAAUCGGUCUCAGUCCGGAUUGGAGUCUGCAACUCGACUCCAUGAAGUUGGAAUCGCUAGUAAUCGUGGAUCAGCAUGCCACGGUGAAUACGUUCCCGGGCCUU